rnacentral:tRNA from 1 species
GGAGCUGUGGCUCAGUGGCAAAGCAUCUGCUUCACAUGCAGAAGGCCCCUGGUUCAAUCCCCAGCAGCACCA